rnacentral:misc_RNA from 1 species
UCCUGGUUAACCCUGGUAGUCCACGCCCUAAACGAUGGCAACUGGGUGUUGGGGGAGCGAUCUCCUGGUACCGUAGCUAACGCGUGAAGUUGCCCGCCUGGGGAGUACGGCCGCAAGGUUAAAACUCAAAGGAAUUGACGGGGACCCGCACAAGCGGUGGAUGAUGUGGAUUAAUUCGAUGCAACGCGAACAACCUUACCUACCCUUGACAUGUGCCGAAGCCUGCUGAGAGGCGGGUGUGCCUGAAAGGGAACGGCAACACAGGUGCUGCAUGGCUGUCGUCAGCUCGUGUCGUGAGAUGUUGGGUUAAGUCCCGCAACGAGCGCAACCCUUGUCCCUAGUUGCUACGCAAGGGCACUCUAGGGAGACUGCCGGUGACAAACCGGAGGAAGGUGGGGAU